AGGGAGAGAAAUGCUUCUGGCAGGCCACAUUCCCAGCAUCUGAAAUAUUUGUACAACUUAGUGUCUCCUCUAGAUGACGAGUGUCAGGAAGUGGUGCUGAGUUUGCAGCAGUAUAUACCAUCCCAGAGGAGGCUGUAAAAAGUUCAGUAAGCAGGAGAUGACAGAGUGACCGUGCUGCCUCUGCUCGGGGAGCAGGAGAGCUCUGAUAGGGAUAUAAAUUAUUGGAAGAGUGUUCAUCUCGGGAAUUGCACACAGACAGAGCAGCUCUGAGGAAAUGCAAACUGUCAAAGAUGGUUUGUUUCAGCUGAGGCUUGAAUAACAGCAGAAGCGAAAAGGGGCAAAGCACA